rnacentral:rRNA from 1 species
UACAGAGGAGCCAAGCGUUGUUCGGAAUUACUGGGCGUAAAGCGCACGUAGGCGGAUUUGUAAGUCAGGGGUGAAAUCCCGGGGCUCAACCUCGGAACUGCCUUUGAUACUGCAAAUCUCGAGUCCGGAAGAGGUGAGUGGAAUUCCCGGUGUAGCGGUGAAAUGCGCAGAUAUCGGGAGGAACACCAAUGGCGAAGGCAGCUCGCUGGGACGGUACUGACGCUGAGACGCGAAAGCGUGGGGAGCAAACAGG